rnacentral:rRNA from 1 species
UUGGUCAAUGGCCGAAAGGCUGAACCAGUAACUUGGAAGAAUGAAAGUGUAUUAUAAUAAUACAAUAACGAUUAAGUCGUAUAAAAUUCUAAAUAGAAUAAUGAUAAUGACAAUUUUCUAUUUAUAAGUCUUGACCAAACUACGUGCCAGCAGUCGCGGUAAUACGUAGAAGACUAGUGUUAAUCAUCUUUAUUAGGUUUAAAGGGUACCUAGACGGUAAAUUAAACUCUAAAUGAGUACUUGUUUACUAGAGUUUUAUGAAAGGAGGAAGAAUUUCUGGAGUAGUGAUUUAAUAUGAAUAAUCUCAGAGAGACUGGUAACGGCGAAGGCAUCCUUCUAUGUAAAAACUGACGUUGAGGGACGAAGGCUUGGGUAACGAGAAGGAUUAGAUACCCUAGUAGUCCAAGCAGACAAUGAUGAAUGUCAUAGACUAGAUAUAAAUUUAGUCUAUAAAUGAAAGUGUAAGCAUUCCACCUCAAGAGUAAUAUGGCAACAUAUAAACUGAAAUCAUUAGACCGUUUCUGAGACCAGUAGUGAAGUAU